rnacentral:misc_RNA from 1 species
GAUAAGAACGCAGCGAAAUGCGAUAAGUAAUGUGAAUUGCAGAAUUCAGUGAAUCAUCGAGUCUUUGAACGCACAUUGCGCCCCCUGGUAUUCCGGGGGGCAUGCCUGUCCGAGCGUCAUUGCCGCCCUCAAGCACGGCUUGUGUGUUGGGCCCCCGCCCCCCGGCUUCGGGGGGCGGGCCCGAAAGGCAGCGGCGGCACCGCGUCCGGUCCUCGAGCGUAUGGGGCUUCGUCACCCGCUCUGUAGGCCCGGCCGGCGCCCGCCGGCGACCCCAAUCAAUCUUUCCAGGUUGACCUCGGAUCAGGUAGGGAUACCCGCUGAACUUAAGCAUAUCAAUAAGCGGAGGA